UGAAGCAGAGGUUUUUUGUUUUUAUUAUUAUUUUAUUUCCUUUUUUGUUUGUCUAAAAUUAUGUUCCAACUCAAAAUGAGUUUCAUGGGACAAAGGCUAAUAAAAAUCCUUUUAUCUUGGUAAAUAUACCAGAUGUAUGAAAACAAGGAGGUGUUUGCAGCGUAAGAUAUGCAGUUCUACAACAUCUGGGAUGGUAAAGUUUUGGCACCUAACAUAAACCUUGGUAUUAAACGUUUCACAGUCUGAUUUGAGAAAGUCAUUUUAACAUUGCAUGCACAGGAUAAACCAAUAUUGGCUGCUAGUUUUAAGGACUAACAGAGGCUGAAUCAGGUAGACAUUAUAG